AAGUAAGUACCUACAUGUACAGUCGGCGUCACAUAAAAGUCGAACAUUAAAUAGUUGUUGUGUAAAUCUGACUUUCUACCUCGAUCUACCUUUGCGUAAAUGACAAAAUACUGACAAUUUCAUUUUCCUAUUAUCAAAAUACUACGACUACAAACGAAUUUGAAAAAACUCGAAUAAUUACAUUAAUGGAGGAAGGAGCGUCAACCAAAACAGUAGCUGAGAGAUUUGGAAAACCGAAGAGCACGAUAUAUAAAGAGGGCAAUUAAAUUGUUAAAUUUAAACAAGUUUGUGACAUACAUUGUACAUAUAUUUGACGUAUUUCACAAAGCCUCAUUUACCGAAAUCCGGAAAAAUCGUCUUUAAUAGUCGCCUACUUUUAUAACUCGAUAUAAUGGAAAUACAUUUUUUUAGGUCCUUGUGGUGUUUUAUCUUCUAGGCGAUUCAGGCUAUAUACUCUUCGCCCAUGGCUACUCACGCCAUUAGAUUCUCCUCCAAUAAAUGCCGCAGAAGAACGCUUUGAUAGCAGGAUUAAGGCUGUUCGAAGCGGCAUUGAAAGAUGUAAUGGGGCACUGAAAAAUCGGUUUAGGUGUUUGCUUAAACAUUGAGUGCUCCAUUACAGACCAGACAGAGCAGGGAAGAUAAUUAAUGCGUGUGUAGUACUACACAACAUGUGCGUAAAAGCCAGCAUGCCAGAACCAGAAGAAAAUCCAAUUGAGAGAGCAGACUUACUGGAAUUAAGUAAUAUGGAGCGAAGCAAUGAUCCAAGACUGGUUAAUCCAGAUUUGGACGCCGCCAGAAGAUUGCAGAGGGAAAUUGCAGCAACACAUUUUAAUUAGGAUUAAAAUAUCGAUGAUAAUUAA